rnacentral:piRNA from 1 species
UAGGAAUUUCACUUCCGUUUGCUGGGAUAG